GGCCUUAUAGUCAAGUGGUUAAGACAUAACUUUUUCACUGUUACAUCGAGGGUUCGAUUCCCUCUGGGGCUA
rnacentral:tRNA from 1 species